rnacentral:rRNA from 1 species
GACGAACGCUGGCGGCGUGCUUAACACAUGCAAGUCGAACGGAAAGGCCCCUUUGGUGGUACUCGAGUGGCGAACGGGUGAGUAACACGUGAGUAACCUGCCCUUGACUUCGGGAUAACUUCAGGAAACUGGGGCUAAUACCGGAUAGGAAUCCUUUCUGCAUGGUGGGGGUUGGAAAGCUUCGGCGGUUUUGGAUGGACUCGCGGCUUAUCAGCUUGUUGGUGGGGUAGUGGCUUACCAAGGCUUUGACGGGUAGCCGGCCUGAGAGGGCGACCGGCCACAUUGGGACUGAGAUACGGCCCAGACUCCUACGGGAGGCAGCAGUGGGGAAUAUUGCACAAUGGGCGGAAGCCUGAUGCAGCAACGCCGCGUGCGGGAUGACGGCCUUCGGGUUGUAAAACGCUUUCAGCAGGGGCGAAGCUUGUGGUGACGGUACCUGCAGAAGAAGCACCGGCUAACUACGUG